rnacentral:lncRNA from 1 species
UCUCUCUCUCUCUCUCUCUCUCUCUCUCUCUCUCUCUCUCUCUCUCUCUCUCUCUCUCUCUCUCUCUCUCACACACACACACACAUUCUUUUUCUCAUACUAUCUUCAAUCAUGUUCUACCGCAAGAGGUAGAAUAUAGUUUCCUGUGCUAUACAGUAGGACCUCGUCGCUCAUCCAUUCUAGAUGUCAUAGUUUGCAUCUACCAACCCCAAACUCACUGUCAAUCCCACUUCUUCUCCCCUUCCCCUUGACAAUCACAAGUCUGUUCUCCUUGUUCAUGAGUCUGUUUAUGUCUGUAGAGAGGAUCAUUUGUGUCAUAUUUUAUAUUACACAUAGAAGUGAUAUCAUAUGGUAUUUGGCUUUCUCUUUCUGACUGACUUCACUUAGUAGCAGAAUAUCUAGUUGAAUCCAGGUUGCUGCAAAUGGCAUAAUUUUGUUCUUUUUUAUGGCUGAGUAGUAUUCCAGUGUAUAUAUGUACCACAUCUUCUUAAUCCGUUCAUCUGUUGACAGGCACUUAGGUUGUUUCCAUGUCUUGGCUAUUGUUAAUAGUGCCUCAGUGAAUAUAGGAGUGCAUGUAUCUUUUUCAAUGAAAGUUUUAUCUGAAUAUAUGCCAGGAGUGGGAUUGCUGGGUCAUAUGGUAGUUCUAUAUUUAGUUUUCUGAGGUACCUCAAUGCUGUUUUCCAUAGUGGUUGUACCAAUGUGCAUUCCCACCAACAGUGUAGGAAGGUCCCCUUUUCUCCAUACGCUCUCCCGCAUUUGCUAUUUGUUGACUUGUUAAUGAUGGCCAUUCUGACCAGUGUAAGGUGUACCUCAUUGAAUUUUUUAUUUUAAUUUCUCCAGUAAUUAGUGAUUUGAGCAUUUUUCCAUGUACCUACUAGCUAUCCAUAUGUCUUCUCUAGGAAAAUGUCUGUUUAGGCCUUCUGUACAUUUUUUGAUUGGGUUGUUUAUUUUUUUAAUUGAUUUGUAUGAGCUCUUUUUAUAUUUUGGAGAUUAAGUCCUUCAAUUCCAUCAUUUGCAAAGAUUUGCUUCCAUUCUCUGGGUUGUCUUUUCAUUUUUGUAUUGGUCUCCUUUAGUGUCCAUAGGUCUUUAUCUCAAGAGAUCACACUCAAAAAACUGGAUCCAGAAUGCCUCAACUAUAUCUGAGGCUAAAUUGUGGCUUAAUCAUAUUCACUAGGAGAUAGAGGACACAAAGGGAGCAAUGAAUCAUGCCUUUCCCCAUUCCUACAGAAAAGUCCUUUUUCUCUGAUCACACUCCCAAAUCCUCAUGUAUCAUUUUCAUUGCCAUCUCAUUUAUUUUCCCAAAUGUUCGUGAAUUAGGCAUACAUACAUGUACACACACUUACACCUAUUUAUUGAUUCAAGAGUUUUUAAAAACAUUUGUAAAACAUGGUCCCUAUUGCGUGUGGAACUUGAUGCUAACACCAGAGAUGCAAAAAUGAGUAAACAGGUUCAGGGAUCUAAUUGUACUGUAACGAGUAAACAUGCAUUCAAGAUGGUAUGACCAUGGAUUCCUUGGGUAAUACCUUCUAACAGUCUGUGAUUAUUUGAUUUUUAAUCCUCAUAUUAUAGGCAAAAGUCAAAAGUCUUCCUUGUAUUCUUGUACAAGUUAAACAUAUAUUAGGAGUUCAGUAAAUACUUGGUUGAUUCAUGGUAUGUUGCUUUAGGCAAACUUUGUUUUCCCAAAGACACUGAGAUAUUCUAUGACUAAUAUGUCUUGAUUUCAUAGAAUUCCUAUAAUAGCUAUCUACAGUCUCCAUUUUCUUCCAAAGAUUAAUCUGGUUUGGAUGGGAAUUUUUGAUAAAGACAGAUCUAUCACAACCUAUAAAAAUAACUCAAAUUAUAUCCAAUUGUGGUGCCACCGUUCCUGUGGGAAGUACCAGCUCUGUAAGAAAGCAUGAUCUUAAAACAACUUUUAAACAAUUUGCUGCUUACUCUCUUGCUUUAUGAGGAACAACUUGAGAUUUAUCAUACUUGAUCGGUCCUCAGGGAAACAUUUACUAUUUUCAACAAGAUUUACACAGGAAACCUCCCCACACACGUCCCCCUAAGACAAAAUGUAUCCUUUGAGACUGUAGAUUUAGAGUGAACCAUAACUGAUGUGUGUUAUGAAAAUAGUCCAUUAUUUAUAGAUGGAUGGAUUUAUUGCAAGAUCUCUUGACUUCCUACAUGUGACCCAUCAUUCCAAGAUAAGGUCACUUUCAAUUAUUAGCCCUGAUAUUAAUAAUCUAUAUAUGUACGUGCCACUUUAUAGAUGGCAAGUAUUUUCAUAUAUAUGUUAUUUUUGUAACAUUUGAAGGUAUUGUGUAAAAUAUGGUCAUCUUAAAAUAAUUGAUACUUGAUUUGGGAACAUGUAUUGGUGAUAGAAACAGCAGUUUCGUAAACCUACUAUGUGCCCAGUGCUUUCCCAUGUCGUUUCAUGGUGAAAGUGCAAGUCUCAGAACCACACUGAUUUCUAACCUGGCUUACGACUCACAAGCUGGGUUAUUUGGGUAAGUUGUAGAAUCUUUGAGCCUCAGUUUUGUCUUCUGUGCAUGAGCGAUAGCUGCACCUCCUGCAUAGGCUUUUUGUUGUGAUCAUAGGAAUUACUACAUGUGAAAUGGGUAGAAGGUGCUUGUCACAAAGCAAUAGAAACAUGGUAACUUACGAUUUCUCAUAGCACGCCCAUGUCGACAUAAUUAUUGCCUCUAUUUUGCAGAUGAGGAAAGAGAGUUUACAAGCAAAUUACUAGAAAAGGUAGCCUUCAAAUCCUAAUCUAAAUACUCUAAAUUCAUCUCUAGUAACAAUGCUUGAUGUUUUAAUAAGAUCAAAGGUAUUUCAUGUAAUGAUUGUUGCUGAUUUUUUCUCUGUCCACAACAAAAAAGCAGUAACUUUAACCAAGGAUAAGGCUUAAAUUAUUUUCUACACUUAUAUCCUCUAUAGUAUUUUCUAGACUUUCUUGUUUUAAACCUCCCUUGAACCAAUUUUAUUUGUAAUACAGUUUACUUCUCUUUUGUUUUUCCUUCUAUUUCCCCAGUGCUGAGCAAAACACCUGGUUAUACAAAGAUGAAUGCACUCAUUUGGAGUUUAGAUUCUGUAGUAACCACUUUACCUUUUUUAUUAGUCUUUAAAAUCAUUUAAUAUCAAGUCCAUCUUAAAAUGUACCAAUUAUUUCCCAAAUGGAGGUAGAGCUGUUUUAUUCCCUAUUGGCUCCAGUUAAGGUCUAUACAUUGCCUCUUGUUAUAUUUCUUAAUUCUCUUUUAAUCCAGAAAGGAUUCCCUCUUCUCCCUUUUCUCAUUUUUGUGGAAAUGAUUCAUUGGCCAGUGGUAAAACCCACACAUGGACCAUUUCUCCAGUUCGAUGGAUUUAUCCAUGCUCUGAGCAACAAACUGAGUAGCCGUGGACAGGAACAAUGAUGCCGACUGCAAAAUGCUGUCAAUAUAUUGAGAUGGCUGAAGUUGUUUCAUUUCAACUCGGGCUGCAGUUUAUCUUGAGAUAGAGAAAUGCUUAACUUUUCUUUACAGUCUUCAUAAAGCUAUUUUUUAUUCUUAAAGAAUAUCUGAAAUGUAUGUUCAGACUUUUGAAAGUAAGUUGAUACAUAUAUUCAUGGAGUUAAAAAAUAAUUAAUAUUUUGAUAUCUAACUAUGUCUAUAUGAACUCUGAAAUACAUUUUAAUUAUUUUUAAGAAAAAACACUCACAUAAAAUAUUUCCCACCUAUUGAUUAUAAUUUGGCUCUUUAUUUUAUAUUAUUUCCUUGGUUUUUCAAAUAGGAGAAAGGCUACUAGGAUGAGUUGAACUGUUUGUGAAUCCAAAUAAGAGUAAAUAAAUGUUUAAUGAGCCAUUCUUAAUGCAUCUUAUGUCAAGAUGCUUCUUCCAAGGGUUGGUGUGUAAUUUUAUAACACAGGCUGCAGUUCUUGAACAUUUUAUUGUAUUUGAAAAUUGGGGGAAUUAGUAACACUCCUAAGGUGGUUUUACUCCAUGUCACAAAACACAGCUCUUUAUUUGCUUUUAAAGGUGGAAAAGGAUAGAAGGGGAACAGCAAGGUAUGAACAUGCUUUUAUACAACACACAGGGCAAGAAGGAUUACUUUACAUUCCUCUUGUCUGAAAUUAUCUAAUCCUAUUCUAUACCAUCUUUGUUUGUCAUUCCCCUGGUUAUGUGGUUACACAUAGGCAGGCUUUGUUUCUGUAUCCAAAACUGUUAUCAGGUUACCUUUAAAAUUUGGCAUACGGCAACAGAAGGGUCAACAGUGCCACCUUCCUCAUGGUUUGUAUGACUUCAUUAGUGAACUAGAACUGUGGGAACCAAUUUUCUAGGCGACGCUGAAGUCAUUAGAAGCAAUAAGGAGACUCGAUGUUUAAACAGCUUCUAACCCUCAUGUAUCUUUGUAUCUCCUGAAGUAAAUCCUUUUACUAUUUACUUAGAAUAUAUUGGGUGGGUUCUGUUCAUAGGUUAUUGUCAGCCUAUGUGGAUCAUUUGAGAAGUACCCAUUUAAUAACCUGUAGUUUCAUUUCCUAUGCAAAAUAGGCAGUGUUUCUAAUUUAACUAAAAGAAUCAGGAGACUCGAUUUUUGAAUAGUUUCAAACCCUCAUGAGAUGACAAUAUUGAAGAAAAAUUAGAAGGCAAUUUCUGUUGUCCAUAGAUAAAAGUAGACAGAGAGUUUGAGGAUAGUGGAGAGCUUUUAUAGGGAAAACAAAUUUAUUUUGUUACCUUAACAUAGAGAACUUUUGGCUCUAAAAUUCUAUACUUUUAUGUUUUAUGGGGAUGGUUUUAUUGAGGAUGGGUUGUCACAAGAGAAAAACUGCCCAAAUAAAAUUAACCAGUUGUGCUAUUUCAAAAAUCUUAAAAUAAGAAUUUAUAAGACUAUUGCUUUCAGUUUUUCUUAACUUUAAAGGCUGUACAUAAUCAUCUUCAAACCCAGAAGAGUGAAAGUACCAUAGUCUCUGGUCCUUGGCAUGUAGCUGCUAUUGAAAUAUAAAAAAUCACCCUGUCAUUUUUGUUUAUUUAUUGCAUCCAGAAAUUAAGUAUAUAGCUCACAGUAUUUGUUGAGUUUUAAUAGAAGGUUGUGCCAUUCAUGCAGCUGACACUCCCCCUCCCCUCCUUCUGUAGAAAGUGCUGCAGGAAAAUUAACUCUUGUUCUGUGCCAGAUGGUGGGAGCCCAGAAAUGAGAAAUUGGAGCCAGAGAGGACAGAUCAGGUCAGCUGGGCCACCUCCCCUGCCAGUGUAGCAUCACUCAGGCUAGGCAGCUUCAGUCUGCCCUCUAGCUUGUGUUUGAUAAGCAUGUUCCCCAACCUGGGGCUCUCUGUUGCUUUUUAAAAUCCCACAGAUAUUGACAUCACUGAUUUUGUUUUUGUUUAUCAUCAUUUUGCAAAGCUGCAUCAUGUAACUCCACGAAGUCAUCUUCAAUAUUAAGUAUCUCUGCCAUACCUACUUCAGUCAGCCUGCUUGCCCCUUGUUUUGUCAUGGUCCUGCAUGCUAUUUAUUACAUAAGGGAGAUUUUAUCAAAGCAUGAUGAGGACCUUAGAGGCUAUUGUGUACAAAACAUUACUCAAGAUAGAACUGCUUAUAAUUUUUUAUAAGAGCUCAUGUAAUUAUGUUGGGGAUACUGUCGUAUAAACUUCAUCCUGGUCAUAUCAUGUGGACUGAUUACUGCUGGUCUCUAUUCCAGGGUGCAUUCAUUU